rnacentral:rRNA from 1 species
UCGGGAAAAUUUUGCAAUGCGCGAAAGCGUGACAGAGCAAGCCAACGUGAUUCUCUAUAAUUGAGAAUCUUUUGUGUGCUGUAAAAAGGCAUACGAAUAAGGACUGGGAGAGACGGGUGCCAGCCGCCGCGGUAAUCCCCGCAGUCCAAGUCGCAACCACAUUUGUUGGGUCUAAAACAUCCGUAGCUUGCUUGAUAAGUCUCAUGUGAAAUCCGGCCUCUCAAGGGUCGACGUGCAUGAGAUACUGCCAAGCUAGAGACCGGGAGACGUAACGAGUACGCAUAGAGUACCGGUAAAAUGGGUUGAUCCUAUGCGGACUACCACCAGCGAAGGCACGUUACGAGCACGGAUCUGACAGUGAGGGAUGAAGGCUAGGGGCGCAAAGUGG